GAUAAACGCUGGCGGCGCACAUAAGACAUGCAAGUCGAACGGACUUAACUCAUUCUUUUAGAUUGAGAGCGGUUAGUGGCGGACUGGUGAGUAACACGUAAGCAACCUGCCUUUUAGAGGGAAAUAACAAGAAGAAAUUUUUGCUAAUGUCCCAUAAGACCACAUUGUGGCAUCACAAAGUGAUCAAAGGAGAAAUCCGCUAAAAGAUGAGUCUACGGCUGAUUAGCCAGUUGGCGGGGUAAAGGCCCACCAAAGCUAUGAUCAGUAGCCGAGCUGAGAGGCUGGCCGGCCACAUUGGGACUGAGACACGGCCCAG
rnacentral:rRNA from 1 species